CGCGGAGUAGAGCAGUCCGGUAGCUCGUCGGGCUCAUAACCCGGAGGUCGUAGGUUCAAAUCCUGCCUCCGCAACCA
rnacentral:tRNA from 1 species